UUACUUAUUUAAUUAUUAGAUAAUACAUUUACAAACUUAUUAGAAUAAGAUUUUUAGAUGAGAAAAAAAAUUAUAUAAAACAUGGCUUGUCCAUAUGCUAAUUCAUCAUUACGUGUCAAAACGCCAUACACUCAGAAAUUCAUUUCUUCAAUAAGCAUAUAUGCUUUUCAGCAAAAUAUAGGCCUAUCCCCCCAAAAUGCAAAUUUGAUAAGAUAAGACAUAUGUAUUAUCUUCCCAUCGACUAUCGACUAGAGGAUACUCUGUUCUGUAUACACCUGAAUGAACGGUUAUACCCGGUGAAAUUUCGCAUGACCCAAACGUUUGAUCACCAUUGAUUGUCAGCUGUUUACAAGUAAGGGAAACGUGCAGGCUUUAGACGAAGUGUGCAUUUGGUUAUAGGAAUUUCUUUUACCGCUUUUGGCCAUUUACCAUCUUAACUUGUUUUGUUAUAUAUAGCACUGGAUAACACAUGCAAGUUGGAUAAAAACGAUAUUGAAGAGGAUCCAACCAGAUAUUCUCAAGAAAAUGCUGUUUUAGUUUUUCUUUUGUCUAUUUUUGUAAAUUUAAAUAAAAAUUAUGUUGAUUUUA